UGUUUAAUGAAAAAAUGACCAAGUGCUGCAUAAAAUCCUGCAAAAUUUCGCAGGUCGACGCUAAGAAGCAAAAUAGAGCAGUGAGUUUUCAUCAGCUACCGAAGGAACCCGCGGUACGCAAAAAAUGGCUCGCGUUCUGUGGCCGUAAGGAUGGAUCCGGCAUAUACGUGUGCUCCCAGCAUUCCGAAUUGACGGAGUUUGUCAAUGUUUAUAUGGAAAACGCAAAGAGGGUUCUUAUAAAAUCUGCUUGCCAUCCGUUCGUGCCCUCCAACUGAGUCUGCUCGAUCCAUCAGAGCUUAAGUGAGGAACCGGAAGCAAGUGGUCGAAGAACUUCUACAGAGAAAUGCAAACUUGGGGAUCAGUUGAAGUCAUCGCCCUCGAUUACAAUAAAGGAUCUUCUAAGAUGGUUAUUCAACGACGACGGAACAAUCCACGUAAACUGUAUUACGCACUGCAGCCCCGAUGAUGUUAUGACGUCAUCACUGUAAUACACACAAUGUUUACGUUUUUUCGAUCACCUAUACCACGGCAAACCGAGUUCAUCCACACCUCUACAUCUAGC